UAAACGGGAAAUCGAACGACACCCCCGCAGAAUAAAAUCGUGCCCACGCUCAGAUCCAGCUGUUUUCUUCUCUCUGUUUCUCUUCUCGAAUCCGAGAGAUUCCCUCGCCCAGAUCUUGACCUCUGCCCUCGUAUCCUACCGGAGGUUUAGAUCCUCCUGCUUCGCAGUGUGCCGGAGACGCUGGUCGAGCCUUGGGAGACCCCGCGGCCGUCACAACCAUGAAUCCCUUCUCCUCGGGUACGCGAUUGAGGGACAUGAUUAGAGCCAUUCGGGCCUGCAAAACUGCUGCAGAAGAAAGGGCUGUUGUAAGAAAAGAAUGUGCAGCUAUCCGUUCUGCAAUCAGUGAAAGUGAUCAAGGUUACAGGCACAGAAACAUUGCAAAACUCAUGUUCAUUCACAUGCUUGGUUAUCCAACACAUUUUGGUCAAAUGGAAUGUCUGAAGCUGAUAGCUUCUGCUGGAUUUCCUGAGAAACGAAUUGGUUACCUAGGCCUUAUGCUUCUUCUUGAUGAAAGACAAGAAGUUCUUAUGCUGGUCACGAAUUCCUUGAAACAAGAUCUUAAUCACUCAAAUCAAUAUAUUGUGGGUCUUGCACUCUGUGCUUUAGGAAAUAUAUGUUCCACGGAAAUGGCAAGGGAUCUAGCACCUGAAGUAGAAAGAUUAUUGCUAAGUAGAGAUCCAAACAUUAAGAAAAAGGCUGCCUUGUGCUCUAUCAGGAUCAUAAGAAAAGUACCAGACUUGGCAGAAAACUUUUUGAGCUUGGCAGCUACUUUGUUGAAGGAAAAGCAUCAUGGAGUCCUAAUAUCUGGAGUGCAGCUCUGUACAGAUCUUUGUAAAGUCAGUGAAGACGCAAGCAAUUAUUUGAGGAAGAACUGCACAGAAGGAUUGGUUCGAAUACUGAAAGAUGUUUCUAGUAGCCCAUAUUCACCUGAGUUUGACAUUGCUGGGAUUACGGAUCCCUUCUUACAUAUUCGGGUUCUUAGGCUGAUGAGAAUGUGUGGCCAAGGAGACUCCGAUACCAGUGAAUAUAUAAAUGAUAUUCUUGCACAGGUUGCUUCAAAAACUGAAUUAAACAAAAAUGCUGGGAAUGCUAUUCUAUAUGAAUGUGUGGAAACUAUAAUGGGUAUAGAAGCUACUAGUGGUUUGCGUGUGCUUGCAAUUAACAUUCUGGGUAGAUUCUUGUCAAACCGUGACAAUAACAUCAGAUAUGUUGCCUUGAACAUGCUUAUAAAAGCUGUUGCAGUAGACUCUCAAGCAGUACAGAGGCACAGAACAACAAUUCUAGAAUGUGUCAAGGAUUCUGAUGCUUCAAUUAGGAAAAGGGCUCUGGAGCUUGUUUAUCUUUUGGUUAAUGAUAUAAACGUAAAACCUUUGACAAAAGAGCUUAUUGAUUAUCUGGAAGUGGUGGAUCAUGAUUUCAAAGGAGACCUUACUGCUAAAAUUUGCUCAAUUGUUGAAAAGUUUUCCCAAGAAAAGAAAUGGUACAUAGAUCAGAUGUUCAAAGUGUUAUCUCUGGCAGGGAAUUAUGUGAAAGACAACGUGUGGCAUGCACUUAUAGUUGUAAUAAGCAAUGCACCUGAUCUUCAAGGAUACUCUGUAAGGUCUUUAUACAAGGCAUUCUACACAUCACCCGAACAGGUAAGUUUAGUGCGUGUAACAGUGUGGUGCAUUGGCGAAUAUGGUGAGAUGCUGGUUAACAAUAUUGGGGUGUUGGAAGUUGAAGAGCCAAUGACAGUGACUGAAUCUGAUGCUGUGGAUGUUUUGGAGGCUCGUUUAAUUAGUCAUUCAUCAGACACUGCAACUCGAUCGAUGUCCUUGAUUGCUCUUUUGAAGCUGUCUUCCCGUUUUCCACCGACCUCAGGGAGGGUUAAGGAGAUUAUAACGGUUCACAAAGGAAGUUUUGUGCUUGAAUUGCAACAAAGAGCAAUUGAAUUCAACUCCAUAAUACAGAGACAUCAAAACAUAAAAUCUUCUUUGGUUGAGCGAAUGCCUGUUCUGGACGAGUCAACUGUUAUUGUUAAGAGAGCUGGGCCUUCACAAGCUAGUAUUUCAACUGAGAAAUCUAAUCAACAACCACCUUCUGGAACUUCACUUAAGCUUCCAAAUGGUGUUGCAAAACCAGCUGCUGCACCAUUGGUUGAUUUACUUGAUUUGAGUUCUGAUGAUACUCCUGUUUCUGCUCCAACCUCUAAUGAUUUUCUGCAUGAUUUGUUGGGCAUUGAUUUGACAAACUCAUCCUCAGGCAUUGCUCCAGCCAGUGGUACAGAUAUUCUUAUGGAUCUUUUGUCUAUUGGAACACCACCUGUUCAAAGUAAUACUUCACCUGAAAUUUCCUCCGAUAAAGGAUUAUCACUGAUAACCAAACCGGCUUCUAAUUCUGUUCAUGUAGUAGAUUUGUUGGAUGGAUUAACAUCAAAUGGAUAUCUGCCUGAAGUUCAUAUUCCAGUUUACUCCUCUAUCACUGCUUUUCAAAGUAGUACCCUGAAGAUUACAUUCAGCUUCACGAAGCAGCCUGAUAAACCACAAGUUACUCAGAUCCUUGCUACAUUUAUUAAUUUGUCAUUCGAUGCCUAUACAGAUUUUGUUUUUCAAGCAGCUGUUCCAAAGUUUGUCAAGUUACAUUUAGAUCCAGCCAGCAGUAAUCACCUUCCUUCUAAUGGAAAUGGGGCGGUUACACAAACUGUAACUGUUACUAAUGGUCAGCAUGGACAGGGAUCCAUUUUUCUCUGAGGUUCCAAUUAAUCAAUCAUGUUGGAAACAACCAAAAAUAGCUCCAACACUGGUAUGCACUCAAGGGAUCAACCAACCCUCUUUUCAGCGGGUGAUUUACAUAAUAUUCAAGUUGCAAAUCGACUUAAUGGAAAGAAUUAUUUGAAGCGGUCACAAUUUGUUCGCAUAACCUUGAAGGGAAGAGGCAGGUUAAAUCAUAUACUCAAGACAGGACCAAAUUCAGAAGAUCCCAAGUUUGCUGCAUGGGAUGAAAUAGAUUCAUUAGUGAUGUCAUGGUUAUGGAAUUCGAUGAUUCCAGAAAUCAGUGACUCAUGCAUGUUCCUUGGGACAACCAAAGAAAUUUGGGAUACUAUCAAGCAAACAUGGAGUGUUGAGAUUUAAGUACUUCCUAGCAUUAUCUGAACGAAUUCUUUUGAUUCCAACAUUAAAUUAAGUUUUGACAAUGUGAUAGAAAUUCUGAAAGAAAGUGCUUACACCAGGUUUAUUUUUCAUUGGGUAUAUCCAAGUUACUUGAGUACAAUCAUCCAUGAAAGAUGCAAACUAUCUUGCCCCAGAAAUGUUAGGUAUUGUGGAGGGUCCCCAAAUGUCACUGUAAACAAGUGAAAAAUGAACAAAUGCCUUUGUAUUAUUGAUUGGAAAGGAAGAGUGCUCGUGUUUAGCAAGCUCACAAUCAAUAUAAUGAAAAUUCUUAAACAAAGACUUGUUAACCAAGGACGGGAAUAUAAGCUUAAGAACAUGAAUUGAUGGAUGACCGAAACGAUGAUGAUAAAGCAAAACUUUAUCUUUAUUCGAAAUGGUGGAGAACAAGGAUAAAGGAAAGGAACACACAACUCUAGUACUUCUAUUGUUUUCUUCCAGAUAGUAAAAACCUCUUUCACUAGCAUGUCCAAUCUUCCUCUUUGUGCCCAGUUCCUGAAAUAUUCAAUGAAAUGGGUAGAAGAUUAAAAUAAAAUUAGAAUCUUUAGUGAGCCUUUUGAUAGAGACUACAUUGGUAAGGAGUUUGGGAACAAGAACAUUUUUUAGAGUGAGAUUAUCAUUUAUAUAAACAUCACCCUGGCAUACAACAGUGAUAGUGAUCCAUUGCUGUGAUCUUCUUUUAGCUAGAGCAUGGGGUAUAGGUAAUGAAUUUUUUAGAAGAAUAGAUCAUAUCGUUAAUGGUGCCAGAAUCAAUCACCCAUGUACUUACAUUUGAAGCAUUAGGAUAACAAGAGGUAAAAGAAAUACAUAACGAACAUGUACCUAGUAUAGAUGGUGCUUCAAGUGUCCCCAAGAAAUUCUUAAACUUCUCAAUAUCUUCUUUGCUUAACCUAGAAUUUUUCUUCAUGACUAUUAGGUGCUCGUCCUUGUUCUUUUUCAGCUUUACCAGAGAAAUUUCUAUUCAUUUUUGGAGGUCUCCCAUUUAGUUUCCAACAAGUCUUCUUGGUAUGACCUGAUUUUUUGCAACAAUUGCACGAAAGAAAUUCCUUUGACUACUUGAAAAAAAACUUUGAAAAUUCUACUGGCUUAUUGAUUUCUUCAAGAGACUGUGAAGUAACAGAUUUCAUCACAAGGGCUGACCCAUUAGAGGCCUGUUCUUUAAGCAUAACACUCCUCCCUUCUUUAGUGCGGAUGAUGGAGAUGGUCUCAUUUAAAGACAAUAAGUCCUCCUUUCCCAAGAUAUGUAUGCUUACUGUAUCAAAUUCAACCUUAAGGCCAACAAGAAAAUCAUAACGCAUUCAUUUUCAACAAAUCGCUUAAGGAUGACUUCAUCAGUCCCACACUUCAUUUUGAUACACUGAUAGUGAUCUAAUUCUUGCUAUAAGCCUUUCAAGAGGUUUGAGUACUCAGUGAUUGUAUGAGUUUCUUGUUUCAUGGUUGAGAUUUUGGUCUUAAUCUCAUAAAUUUGGGCUGCAUCAUGAACUAUGGAAUAUGUUUGCUUGAUGGUAUCACAAAUUUCUUUGGCCGUACCCAGGAACAUGCAUGUGUAUUUCUGGAAUCAUCUAAUUCUACAACCAUGACAUCACUAAUGAAUAUGAGAAAUCCUUGGCCAUGCGCAUAAGGAUUGCUUACAAAGUUAACAAUCAAGAGAAAUUGGAACUGGGACAAAUCAACAAUUUCCCUCCUGGUUUAUGAGUCUUCAAACUUUUUUUUUCACUUCUAUCCAAGGAAUAUAGCGCCUUCUGUUUUCUCUUCAUGUUCUUAAAGAAUGCUGGGAAAUUUUGAUCCUUUUUCCAAUGCAAUGUAUAGUUCAUAAAGAAUUAUGAAAGAAUGUCAAGUUUCCACUAUCAGGAGUUCUUUUACUCCCAUUUGGAUUAGCAUUAGUUCAGAGGUCAAUUCAUUUCUCCCGGAGGGUUGAGAUUGUAAUGAAACUGGAGCUAGUGGAUGUAAAAUGUUAUCCGAUGGCUAUAUCUAUCAAUGGUGUCGUGUUGUUUACUGAUUUUCUUGGAUAAUUGGAGACGUAAAGACUUGAAAUUGCAAUUUUAAGCAAUUGUUCAAUAAAAUCUAUUUAAAGUGUUAGUGUA